UGAAGUUGUGUUAAAAAAAAAAAGUUUUAAUCUCUUUUGUGUUCAUGUAGCAUUGAAGUCAAGGUGCACUGCCCGCCGUUUUCCUCCAAUUCCUCACUCGUGAUGUGUCACUAAUGCAAAAUCCUCUUGCUCAAGUAGAUUCUCUCCCUUGCCCUUUUUGUGCUCCCUUACUGAUAAUCUUCAAAACACCUUUUUAUAUUUGCCAAAACGGAAUUCACCUGAAGUUUAAUCAUUGUGUAAAAACUGUUGAUCAAGAAUUCCUUUUCUCUAUGUCGGCAACCAUCAAGCGCCCUCAUCAGCAUUGUUGAUGGUUUGGCAAACAAACGUCGCCUGGCAAAGACAACUGGGCUGGCAGCGUCUGUUCAUUUUUGUGCUCAUCAAACAUCCCGUGAAGCCCAAAAUGUUUUAUAAGCUGGCCGCAUUUUGAGUUGAAGUGACAGACGCAAGGCAGUGGAGGAAAGCAAGGCAUUAGACAAUAAAAUAUGAAUUACAGGUUUGGGCACAACCGCAUAUUCUGAGGAAAUGGUAGCAAAAAAAAAAAAAUAAUAAUAAUAAUCAUUACCUGAAUUGUCGUAUGACAUUUUAUUGUUGUCAAGGUGAAUCGCUCUAGCAAACUUACUACCAGGUACUGCUUGAUGUACCCGGAUUGCUACUCGUCGCCAAAAUUCUUCUAAAUUGUUGUGACAACAGAAUCAUGACACGGUGAAUGAAACUAUGCAAAUCAUUCAAAGGCUAAUAUGUAUUUUUUUCAUAACUUGUAGACGAGAAGUCCGCUGGGACUCACGACGUAUGCUUUGUUGUUUUUUGGUUCCACGAGGACAAGAAAAAAGCGACUGUAGUUGUGUGACAAGUCUUAAACGCGGAUCUGUUUAAACAUCAUAUUUGUUGUCAUUUUGAAGCCAGCUGGUCCAAUCACUGUACCGUUGCUCACCAACACACACUUCUAAUCCUUUUUUUUUUUUUUUUUUUUUUAAUUCUUGUGUUGGACCUUUCUAAUGUGGGAAAAUGUGUAUUUACUCUGCCAACCUUUACACUAGUCACUUUGGAUAGUAGCAUACUUGAAGGGGAAAAUGAAUACGAUUGUCAUAAGGCUUAUUUUUGUUCUGACUGUGAGUUUGUAUUUACCAACGGCUGUCUGAUGGCAUUAGUUUGUGCGCAGCAAGAGUUUUUGUAUCAUUUUUAUUUGAUUCACUGCAAGAGGUUUGAAAAACAUGUGAAUACUGACUGCUGCCUUAGACGAGUUUUAGUAUUAAAACAAA